GUCCGUCUGCGGUGCAUGCCGGGCUUUAUAUUUCCUUGAACCAAUGCUCUAUGAGCCCGGGCCUGGAAUAUCCCCUGGGGAGCGUGAUCAUCUCGCGUUAGAUGAACCCAACUCCAGGGUGACCUAGCCCACCUGAACCCCGGUUCAGGAUGCCGGUCCGGUGGCAUUCGCAGACACCUA
rnacentral:other from 1 species